rnacentral:lncRNA from 1 species
CUAAGGAGCAGUUGGCACACUUGUAACUGAGUUGCUUUAUAAGAGGGAGUAAAGGACUUUUUGUUUUUAUUUUGUUUCCUUAUCCAGCACUUGAAGCAUGAUGAUCAAUUCCAACAGAAGACAAAAGAAUGUGCUAUGGAAAGGAAGAAGAAAUAAUGUGAUUUGUUAUGGUUUGCAGCCCUUCAACGAUUCAAUUUUAAGAUUGUUGUUUCUGCAAGCAGCUGUCCUGUCCCAGAAAUUAGAUAGGCUACUUAAAUAAUUUGAACUUCAACUUCUUCAAAAUUAAAAUGGGUAAAACUUAUUUUCCUACAUCUUACUUGAAAUUGUAUGGAAAAUAAUUUACAAAGUUGUAUGUUUGUUUCUUUGAACAUGUUGUAUCUCUCUGAAUGCCUUUUUAAAUCAUAUUUAAGUUUAUAAAACUAGCAUAUUUUUAUUACAUAUAAACUAAUAUAGUGCCAAAGUCUCAUAUAAUUUCAUCUAGCUCUCUUGUAUCCAAAUAAACAGAUGUUAUAAGUAUGAUGGUUGACUAUU